AACGAACGCUGGCGGCAUGCCUAACACAUGCAAGUCGAACGAGAUCUUCGGAUCUAGUGGCGCACGGGUGCGUAACGCGUGGGAAUCUGCCCCUUGGUUCGGAAUAACAGUUAGAAAUGACUGCUAAUACCGGAUGACGACGUAAGUCCAAAGAUUUAUCGCCGAGGGAUGAGCCCGCGUAGGAUUAGCUAGUUGGUGUGGUAAAGGCGCACCAAGGCGACGAUCCUUAGCUGGUCUGAGAGGAUGAUCAGCCACACUGGGACUGAGACACGGCCCAG
rnacentral:rRNA from 1 species